rnacentral:rRNA from 1 species
GACGAACCGUGCGAACGUUAUUCGGAAUUACUGGGCGUAAAGCGCGCGUAGGCGGCUUUGCAAGUCGGGUGUGAAAUCCCCAGGCUUAACCUGGGAACUGCAUUCGAGACUGCAUUGCUAGAGUAUGGGAGAGGGAAGUGGAAUUUCCGGUGUAGCGGUGAAAUGCGUAGAUAUCGGAAGGAACAUCAGUGGCGAAAGCGACUUCCUGGACCAAUACUGACGCUCAUGUGCGAAAGCGUGGGGAGCAAACAGG